GACGAACGCUGGCGGCGUGCUUAACACAUGCAAGUCGAGCGGUAAGGCCCUUUCGGGGGUACGACGAGCGGCGAACGGGUGAGUAACACGUGGGUGACCUGCCCUCAGCUCUGGGAUAAGCCUGGGAAACCGGGUCUAAUACCGGAUAUGACUCCAUGACGCAUGUUGUGGGGUGGAAAGCCUUGUGCGGCUGAGGAUGGGCCCGCGGCCUAUCAGCUUGUUGGUGGGGUGAUGGCCUACCAAGGCGACGACGGGUAGCCGGCCUGAGAGGGCGACCGGCCACACUGGGACUGAGACACGGCCCAGACUCCUACGGGAGGCAGCAGGUGGGGAAUCUUGCGCAAUGGGCGAAAGCCUGACGCAGCGACGCCGCGUGAGGGAUGACCGG
rnacentral:rRNA from 1 species